CUUAGGCUCUCCCUCUCUCCUUCCCCCUUUUCCCCUCAGUAACCAUGCUGCUCCCAAGGAUGGGACCCCAAUAAACCCCAAUAAAAUCAGCACCCUCAGAAGCCCUGUGGAGUCUCCUUGCCUGCCUCCAGUGAACACACAGCUUAGGGGGGCCCACCAAACAAACUGCAUCCCCAUGGAGCUUUACAGAGGUCUGAUCUCAUGAUAUGAACAGUGAGUGUGGCACAAGAUUUACACGAUGGAGAAAUGUGCUAACAACAAACAAGAAGGAACAAGUCGUGUUGUUUAUCCAUGAUUUUAACUUUCCUCCCAAACAUCCUUUUUCUCAGGUUGUUGGCUGAAAGGGGACAUUUCUGUAGCUGUGUUUGACUGCUUAAAACAACAGCUGAACAUUCCUCUGGAACCAGACAGGGGGACCCUGGCCCAAGGCUUUCAAGGAUGGAGCUUAAAUUUCAGAGCAAAAGCUACACUGAGAGGUAAAAUGUGACAGCAGGAGGUGUCAGGAUGGUGAAGUCCAUUCACAGACACACCUAUUCAUUCAGCAAGCCAUUGUCUGUGCUUCUGCACCAAAACUGCCCUGAUAAUCCACCUAGAUUAAAUAUAAACCUGUAUUUAGGCACCCAACCUAAAUCCCACUUUAUUGCUGGAAACAAUUACCAGCUCAGAUCAACCACAAAAAAUUUUCUUACUUGAAUACAAAGUUUGAAAGAUUUGAGGUUAUUUGUAAUUUUCAGCUCAAUUUUUUAUGUUUCAGUAAUCACACAAGACCCAGAGCUGCAAUCCUAAUUAAAGGCAAUUCCAUGAUCCAUGAAGGGAGGAUGAACUUUCAGAGCAAAAUCUUGAUUAUACAAAAAAAGCACCAGAAGCCAGGGAAGGAGUUUCCCAGAUAUUCCCAGAUAUCCCAGGUUCUUCCUGGGGUGGUGAAGAUUUCUCUCCCAAAGCACAGGUGAGCCCAUGUGCAGAACAAAACCAUUUAUUCCACAUGGAAAUUUCAUGGACCUGGCUCAAGAUCAAGCAUUUCCCACAACUGGUGCAAUGUUUUUUAUGGGAUGAAAGAGAGAAAAAAACAGGGGAGGUUUUCAAAAGCACAGCUUGAAAAAAACUGCUGGAGUUCCCAUUCCACAGGCCCUGCAGCCUGGCACUGACCCCAUUUAGCACAAGGGUAAAGGGGUUUUUUGUCUUUCUGAUCUUCUCCUCAGAGGCCAAACAGAGCAAAAAAACAGAGUGAGGAGCUCACUCAUGAAGCUGAGACUGGACAAAGAAAUUCAGGACAAAGUUGUUUCAAAAGCCUGUAAUUGAGCAUUCCAAGGGAAUUCCAUUCAACAAUUACCUGCUGUACAAGAACCUGGCAGCACUCACGUUUCCAUGGGACAACAACACACAAAGCUACUCCCACAGCAACACGAGUGCAGAAAUGGAUGUGUCUGAUCCCCAUGCACAUACAUCCUGUGUUACCUUGAACUCCACAUCUUAUCACAUGUUCUGAAGGGAAAACUGAAGUUUUAGGCAGGUUAAAGCCUCUAAAUCAGGAUCUGCUGU